UUAAACUCAAAGAAUUUGGCGGUAUUUUAUUCCUUUUAGAGGAACCUAUCUCAUGAUUGAUAAUACACGAUUAAUUUUACUUAUAUUUAUUUGUUUGUAUAUUUCCGUUAUCAGAAGAUCUUUUAAGAGUUUUAAUUUUCUUUACUUAUUAUUAUAAUUUAUUUCAGGUCAAGGUGCAGCUUAUAAUUAAGAGAAGAUGGGUUACAAUAAAUUUUUGUUUAUUACGGUUUUAUAUUUUGAAAUUUUAUAAUUAAGGNGGAUUUAAUAGUAAAUUGAUUAAUUUAAUUCAAUUGAUUUUGGCUCUAAGGUGUGUACACAUC
rnacentral:rRNA from 1 species